UAGAUGAGCAGUUCUGAAUAGUUUUGAAUUAUAGAUUUUGCCUUACUUCUGUUCUCGGUAACUUCGUCCUUCAUUCUCCUUAUAACUAUGAAGGUGAUUCUUUUCCUCCUUCCAAAUAGAGAGCGAGCCAUUGGUUUUGUAUGCCAUUCAUGCAUGUCUUCUUUGAUUCUUAUAUUUUCCUAUACCUGGCCUCCUUUUGUUUCUAAAUCUGAAUUUGUGUGUUUUCUACAGCCUUUUCUUUCAUUUCUUUGUCUUUAGUCUUCUUUUAUU
rnacentral:lncRNA from 1 species